CAUAUGUGCUGUGGAGGUGCAGUCCGAUUAUUUGAUUAUCAGCAGCUGGCUGCUGCUUAGCCUCUGAAUUCCUGUGGCAGCAGUAAGGGUGGACUUGCGUCAUUUUGGAAGAUUGGAGGAUUUUCAUGUCCUGAUUUGUAAAGCUUCAGACUUUUUGUCACAACAAACAGCUGACUGACGGUCAUGAAGGUCUUUGUGCUCGUUUGUUUGGAUCUAAACGUCUCUCAUCCACCAUUCUGACCUCCAUGUCUGAACUGCAGGGGGCUCUGGCAGACUCUGGUUCCUCCCCUCCACUCUUGAUCUCAGUUGCUUGCUCAGGCUUAUCCCGCCUCCUGGAUCACAUCCUCG
ensembl:lncRNA